rnacentral:misc_RNA from 1 species
ACCCAGAUCACGAUACAAAAUUCAAAAAACAAACCCCCCAAAACUCAAAGGAUAAUCUCCUCUAAAACCCUACAACGCCGCUUCUUACAAACACGGAAGUGGCUAAAAGCCAAAGAUUGCACAACAACCCAGGUUCAUCACUCAAAAUUAAGAAUGAAACCCACUAAAAAUUCUCCUCAAAAGCAGAAAGAAAUGACUAAAAAUUCUCCUCAAAAGCAGAAAGAAAUG